rnacentral:rRNA from 1 species
UAAGGAAUAUUGCUUAAUGGGCGAAAGCCUGAAGCAGCAACGCCGCGUGAACGAAGAAGGCCUUCGGGUCGUAAAGUUCUUUUACGUGGGAUGAGGAAGGACAGUACCACGAGAAUAAGUCUCGGCUAACUACGAGCCAGCAGCCGCGGUAAAACGUAGGAGACGAGCGUUAUCCGGAUUUACUGGGCGUAAAGCGCGUGUAGGAGGCGCUACAAGUUGGAUGUGAAAGCUCCCGGCUUAACUGGGAGAGGUCGUUCAAGACUGUAGAGCUAGAGUGAGGCAGAGGUAGAUGGAACUCCGGGAGUAGUGGUGAAAUGCGUAGAUAUCCGGAAGAACACCAGAGGCGAAAGCGAUCUACUGGACCUAAACUGACACUGAGACGCGAAAGCCAGGGUAGCAAACGG